rnacentral:rRNA from 1 species
CGUUCCCGGGCCUCGUACACACCGCCCGCCAAGUCACGAAAGUUGGUAACACCCGAAGCCGGUGGCCUAACCCCUUGUGGGAGGGAGCUGUCGAAGGUGGGACUGGCGAUUGGGACU